GUGGCAGCUGGAAGGUCCCACCUCAAGAAGCAACACCUCAUCCCGUGUUGCUCAUAGUAGAUCUCAGAUCUGAAAAGAAAGACAAAACAGUUAGACCCUUAAUCUUAGAAAAGAAAUAAACAAUAUCAAACAUCAAAAGUAAUAAUACAUCUCCUUCUUUUAGACCCUUCAAAACCUCUCCAAAGUGGGCCCAUUUCCUGAACUAAGGUUUGUCCCAAUUCAAGAUUCAAGG
rnacentral:lncRNA from 1 species